GAUGAAGAACGUAGCGAAAUGCGAUAAGUAAUGUGAAUUGCAGAAUCCAGUGAAUCAUCGAAUCUUUGAACGCACAUUGCGCCCGCCAGCAUUCUGGCGGGCAUGCCUGUUCGAGCGUCAUUUCAACCCUCGACCUCCCCUUGGGGAGGUCGGCGUUGGGGACCGGCAGCACACCGCCGGCCCUGAAAUGGAGUGGCGGCCCGUCUGCGGCAACCUCUGCGUAGUAAUACAGCUCGCACCGGAACCCCGACGCGGCCACGCCGUAAAACACCCAACUUCUGAACGUUGACCUCGAAUCAGGUAGGACUACCCGCUGAACUUAAGCAUAUAAUAAGCGGAGGA
rnacentral:misc_RNA from 1 species